UACGGGGGGGGCAAGCGUUGUUCGGAAUUACUGGGCGUAAAGGGCUCGUAGGUGGCCAACUAAGUCAGACGUGAAAUCCCCAGGCUUAACCUGGGAACUGCAUCCGAUACUGGAUGGCUUGAAUCCGGGAGAGGGAUGCAGAAUUCCAGGUGUAGCGGUGAAAUGCGUAGAUAUCUGGAGGAAUACCGGUGGCGAAGGCGGCAUCCUGGACCGGCAUUGACGCUGAGGAGCGAAAGCUAGGGGAGCAAACGGG
rnacentral:rRNA from 1 species